GGCCCGUUGGUCAAGCGGCUAAGACACCGCCCUUUCACGGCGGAAACAUGAGUUCGACUCUCGUACGGGUCACCA
rnacentral:tRNA from 1 species